rnacentral:lncRNA from 13 species
GUGGUUUUCAGGGGAGUGUGCCCAGCGCUCGCUGCCUGUCUGCAGCUGGGCAGAGCAGCCCCUCUUCCGCGUCCAGCUCCACCUGGCUGCCCUGCCACGGCCCCAGCGGGCAACCCCCUUGUCCUUGACGCCCCUUACUGCCUGCUGCAGCUGGGCCUCAGGGAGAACAGCUGCAGAUGGCCUCCCACCCCCACCCCCCACCAACAGAGGAGUGCCGGAUCACACCCUGUCACGCCAGGAUUUUAUUUUCAAUCAGAGCGCCUACAGAGAACUAAGCCUACCGUAACCAGUGUGAGCAGACAGGGAUUUACUAUGGGGGGUGACCUCCCUCCAAUAGGAGCUUGA